GACGAACGCUGGCGGCGUGCUUAACACAUGCAAGUCGAACGAUGAAGCUGGAGCUUGCUCCAGCGGAUUAGUGGCGAACGGGUGAGUAACACGUGGGCAACCUGCCUGACAGACUGGGAUAACAUUCGGAAACGAAUGCUAAUACCGGAUAGGCAGCGAAGAGGCAUCUCUUUGCUGAGAAAGGCGCUACGGCGUCACUGUCAGAUGGGCCCGCGGCGCAGUAGCUAGUUGGUAGGGUAACGGCCUACCAAGGCGACGAUGCGUAGCCGACCUGAGAGGGUGACCGGCCACACUGGGACUGAGACACGGCCCAGACUCCUACGGGAGGCAGCAGUAGGGAAUCUUCCACAAUGGGCGAAAGCCUGAUGGAGCAACGCCGCGUGAGUGAUGAAGGCCUUCGGGUUGUAAAACUCUGUCUUCUGGGACGAACGGCCAAGAGAGGGAAUGCUCUUGGAUUGACGGUACCAGAGGAGGAAGCCACGGCUAACUACGUGCCAGCAGCCGCAGUAA
rnacentral:rRNA from 1 species